CACCAUACUGGAACAGAAGAAGAGCAUACAGAAAAUAAUCAUCCUCUCCAUACUGAUGAGUUUUGUUGUGUUAGGAGCAAAGUUGUGCUAUCCAAGAUGAACACUUCAGUUUGAGCUGUGUUCAGGUGAGUUUGUGCGUAGGGGGGCAGGGAUUGAUGGAGUGAAUUAAAAUAUGCCCCAUCUGCACAUUGGACAGGAAAAAAAGAGAAAAGGGUGAAUUCCCAUUUUCACUUUGAGUCAAAAAAUGAACGUAGUAAAAAGUAGAUGCUUAGAAACCACACGCCCAGCUCCAAAGGAUAUGUAGCUUGAUCCAGCUGAUGUCUGUGAACUGACACCUUUACAUUCAUGCAUGGUUUCUGCAACAGCUCCCAAGCUCCAUUUUCAUUUCUGUCACUCACUUGCACUGAGCAUACAGAACAGCCUUCUGUGAGCACUAGGGACUUCCGUGCUGCCACCUCAAGGAAUCUUUUCAACGCCAUGCUCCUAAUACUUCAUCACAAGGAGUGGAACCUUCUGUGUGAAAGAAUACCUGUGCAACAGCACCAGAGAGCACUUGAGCAGCAGGAACAUGCUGAGUCAAAUAAUGAUACUCACUCUCACACUAUCGCCUGCCUGGCCUUGGAGGGAUGGCUGCAGAGUGGAAAUCUGAAAAACCUCCCAUCCCUGGCCCAUUAAGCUAAGUCCUCCUCUUUCCUUUUUGCGACAUUGCCACUCAACACCCAAGUACUGAAUGACUUCGACCCUGAAAGCCUGGUUUCCCCACCCACAUUUUCCUUUACAGUGUAGCUGAAUGGAGGCUUUUCCCAUAGCUUAGUCAUUGCUAUGGCUCAGCCAAAAAAAAAAAAAAAGAAGCCUGUAAUGCACGGAGCUGCUUUCAAAGAAUUUCUGAAACUUAUGUAUGUGACAUUCCACAUACAUGCCAUUCAUGGGGAGAGUGUAGGAAAGCAAACUGGAAAAUGGGAGCCUAGAAAGAGGA
rnacentral:lncRNA from 1 species